CCAAUGAAACGAAGGGGUUAAUCUUCUCGCCGCGGUGAGUCACACAAUGUCGCCGCGUCCUCCGGGAAGUCAAACUCGCUUGACAGCGCUAAGGAGCUGCGGAAUAAGCAUCAUUGCCUUCUGGCGCCCAACAAGAAAUCUCACCUCGAUGGAGCUCAUUUCACUGUGUUGAACAUUGCCUUCCUGAUGCUUGGCCCAAACAGUGGGGUGAAAGACUACACCUUCAGUCUGAAAGAAUCUGAACUUUGAAGAUCUUGAAGCAGAGAACAUCAACAGUUCCAGUUAGUCUUUGUUGCAAUAUUCUCA